rnacentral:miRNA from 1 species
AACCUCAUCAACCUGGAGGAAAUCCUUCUUGUCAAUGAGGUAUAACAAACUCAUUGACCAGAAGGGAUUCCUUUGGGUUGAUGAGGUG